rnacentral:rRNA from 1 species
CAGCCCCUCGAGUGGUGGGGAUGAUUAUUUGGCCUAAAGCGUCCGUAGCCGGCCGGGUAAGUUUCCCGUUAAAUCCAGCGUCUCAAGCGUUGGACUGCGGGAAAUACUGCCUGGCUAGAGAGUGGGAGAGGUCAGCGGUAUUCUGGGGGUAGGGGCGAAAUCCUGUGAUCCCCGGAGGACCACCAGUGGCGAAGGCUGCUGACUAGAACACGUCUGACGGUCAGGGACGAAAGCUGGGGUAGCGAACCGGAUUAGAUACCCGAGUAGUCC